GUGGGGAAUUGUUCGCAAUGGGCGCAAGCCUGACGACGCAACGCCGCGUGGAGGACGAAGAUCUUCGGGUCGUAAACUCCUGUCGAGCGGGAAGAACGCUUCCCGGGUGAAUAAUCCGGGGAAUUGACGGUACCGCUAAAGGAAGCCCCGGCUAACUCCGUGCCAGCAGCCGCGGUAAUACGGGGGGGGCAAGCGUUGUUCGGAAUUACUGGGCGUAAAGGGCUCGUAGGCGGCCAACUAAGUCGGAUGUGAAAUCCCCAGGCUUAACCUGGGAACUGCAUCCGAUACUGGAUGGCUUGAAUCCGGGAGAGGGAUGCAGAAUUCCAGGUGUAGCGGUGAAAUGCGUAGAUAUCUGGAGGAAUACCGGUGGCGAAGGCGGCAUCCUGGACCGGCAUUGACGCUGAGUGAGCGAAAGCUAGGGGAGCAAACGGGAUUAGAUACCCUGGUAGUCC
rnacentral:rRNA from 1 species